ensembl:lncRNA
GGAGCACGGGGUCGCGGUGUCACCGGCAUUGGGUGUCAUCAGGGUCAUGGUGUCACCGGUGUUGGGUGUCAUCGGAGCACGGGGUUGCGGUGUCACCGGCGUUGGGUGUCAUUGGAACAUGGGGUCACGGUGUCACCGGCAUUGGGUGUCAUUGGAACAUGGGGUCGCGGUGUCACCGGCGUUGGGUGUCGUCAGAGCAUGGGGUCUUGGUGUCACCAGCGUUGGGUGUCAUUGGAGCAGACGGGGUCGUGGUGUCACCGGCGUUGGGUGUCAUUGGGGUCUUGGUGUCACCGGCGUUGGGUGUCGUCAGAGCACAGGGUCAUGGUGUCACCGGCGUUGGAUGUCAUCGGAGCACGGGGUCACGGUGUCACCGGCGUUGGGUGUCAUCAGAGCACAGGGUCACGGUGUCACCGGCGCUGGGUGUCAUCGGAGCACGGGGUCACGGUGUCACCGGCGUUGGGUGUCAUCGGAGCACGGGGUCACGGUGUCACCGGCGUUGGGUGUCAUCGGAACACUGGAUCGCAGUGUCACCGGCGUUGGGUGUCGUCGGAGCACAGGGUCGUGGUGUCACCGGCGUUGGGUGUCAUCGGGGUCAUGGCGUCACCAGUGUUGGGUGUCGCUGGAGCACGGGGUCUCGGUGUCCCCAGCGUUGGGUGUCGUCAGAGCACGGGGUCGCGGUGUCAUCGGAGCACGGGGUCGCGGUGUCACCGGCGUUGGGUGUUGUCGGGUGUGGGCAUCUUUGGGUGUUGGUGUCAUUGGGUGCCACCGUCUUCGAGUGUCACCGGCGUUGAGUGUCGCGUGUCACCAUCCCUGGGUGUCACCAUUCCUGGGUGUCACCGUCUUCAGGUGUCACCUUCACUGAGUGUCACCGUCGCUGGGUGCCACCAGGUGUCACCUUCAUUGAGUAUCACUUGUCACCGUCCCUGGGUGUCACUCUUGUCGCCGGUGUCACCGGCAUUGAGUGUCAUUGGGUGUCGCUGUCAUUGGCUGUCACCGUCAAGAGGUGUCACUGUCAUUGAGUAUCAGUUGUCACUGUCACAGCGUCACCGUCAUUGGGUGUCACUCUUGUUGCUGGUGUCGGUGUUGUUGGGUGUCAUCGGGUGUCACUGUUCUCACUGUCAUUGGGUGUCAUCGCUUGUCACCGUCAUCGGGUGUUGGCAUCACUUGGGUGCCACCAUCAUUGGGUGUCAUUGGGUGUCGCUGUCAUUGGGUGUCGCUGUCAUUGGGUGUCACUGUUGUCACCUUCAUUGGGUGUCACCUUCAUUGGGUGUCACCUUCAUUGGGUACCAUUGGGUGUCACCGUCUUCAGGUGUCACCAUCAUUGAGUAUCAUUUGUCACCGUCACUGGGUGUCACCAUCAUCGCGUGUUGGCGUCACUUCAGUGUCACCAUUAUUGGAUGUCACUUGUCACCAUCAUUGGGUGUUGUUGGCACUGGGUGUCACUGUUGUCACCUUCAUGGGGUGUCACCUUCAUUGGGUGCCAUCAGGUGUCACCGUCCCUGGGUGUCACCAUCCCUGGGUGUCACUUGGUGUUGGUGUUGUUGGGUGUCACUGGGUGUCACUGUCAUCGGGUAUUGCCAUCAUCACCAUCAAUGGGUGUCACUGUCACUGAGUGUCACCAUCAUUCGGUGUCACUCUUGAUGGUGGUGUCGAUGUUGUUGGGUGUCAUCAGAUGUCACUGCUGUCACCAUCACUGGGUGCCACUGUCAUUGGGUGCCAUCAGGUGUCACCGUCUUCAGGUGUCACCAUCAUUGAGUAUCAUUUGUCACCGUCACUGGGUGUCACCAUCAUUGGGUGUCAUUGGUUGUCACCAUCAUUGGGUGUUGCUGUCAUUGGGUGUCACUGUUGUCACCUUCAUUGGGUGUCACCGUCUUCAGGUGUCACUGUCACUGAGUGUCACCUGUCACUUUCAUUGGGUGUCACCUUCAUUGGGUGCCACCAGGUGUCACCUUCAUUGGGUGUCACCAUCAUUGGGUGCCAUCAUGUGUCACUGUCAUUGAGUGUCAGUUGUCACCUUCAUUGGGUGUCACCUUCAUUGGGUGCCAUCAUGUGUCACCAUCACUGAGUGUCACUUGUCACCUUCAUUGGGUGCUAUCGGGUGUCACCAUCAUUG